UAAAUGUCGUGAGUAAAAGGCUGUUUAAAGCUGUGGGCAUCUUAGUGUGUUCAGGUCAUUUAUUCUAGCAAUAGUCUUUUCAAGCCCUUGCUACCCGUUUCUCCUCCUCAUUUCUCUCCCUUUGAACCAAGGAGAAACUCACAGCAGCUGCAAAAUAUUACAACAGAAUUUUAACUCUAGGGCAGUGCCCAGGUUAUUUUGAUGUAUAGGAGUUCUUUUGUAUUGACUAAUAUUCAGAAUUAGUGAGUCAUGGUUUGUAGUUUAGCAGUCUUCUAAUUACAUGGAGAUUUUAUUUUAUCUAACUUUUGUUUGUUACCAACUUUGGGUAGAAAAAUUUUGGAGUGAAGAUAAAAAAAGAAUGACUUAAAAACAGUUUAUGAGGCCAGCGCUCUCACCCCUGAGCCACAGGCCGUUAGACACAGUGGAGACUGCCUUAUGUUUGGCUUCACUGGCUAGUCACUUGCUGCAGAUUGUUAAGAGUUAGCUUCUAAAUAAGAGAUC
rnacentral:lncRNA from 1 species